AACGCGAAGAACCUUACCUGGGCUCGAACGGCUUUGGAAAGUCCUUGGAAACAGGGAUUUCCCGCAAGGGACCGGAGUCGAGGUGCUGCAUGGCUGUCGUCAGCUCGUGUCGUGAGAUGUUGGGUUAAGUCCCGCAACGAGCGCAACCCUUGUCCUGUGUUGGCAUGCCGCAAGGCGCAACUCGCAGGAGACCGCCAGCGAUAAGCUGGAGGAAGGUGGGGAUGACGUCAAGUCAUCAUGGCCUUUAUGUCCAGGGCCACACACGUGCUACAAUGGGCGGUACAAAGCGCUGCCAACCCGCGGGGGGGAGCUAAUCGCCAAAAACCGUCCUCAGUUCGGAUCGCAGGCUGCAACUCGCCUGCGUGAAGCUGGAAUCGCUAGUAAUGCUAUAUCAGAACGAUAGCGUGAAUACGUUCCCGGGCCUUGUACACACCG
rnacentral:rRNA from 1 species